ensembl:lncRNA
CAGUUAAUUCUCAGCACAUAGAGACUCUUUCACCUAGAUAUCAAACUAUAGAGACUGUGUCUGUUCCCCGAACUAGAAAAUACAAAAAAAUGUCCAUACCAAUUUAAGCGUAACAAUUUAAUUGAGGUUCAACAAAUAAAAAACAGAUGCAAUACAGAUAAACAAAUGAUAAAGCUUGCCUUAUUGAAUAUCAGUUCCCUUUCUAUGAAAGCAUUUUUCCAAAAGGUAAAGAGGGAGAUGUUGCUUCAAUUUAUAACAAUGUUUUCAGUAUUUCUCAGAGGGCAGGCUUCAAGUAGAACUCAUUUGAAGUAAUGGUGCUUCAUAUAACAUUAUCCAGAGAAACAAAUGUUAAUGAUAAAUCCCCUGUGAUGUUUGUACUGGCUACUGUAUACAGGCCACCAGAGCACCAUAAAGUCUUUAUUAAAGAGUUUGCUGAUUUUACAUCUGAGUUAGUGCUGGCUGCAGAUAAAGUUUUAAUUGUUGGUGAUUUUUAAUAUCCAUGUUGAUAAUGAAAAAGAUGCAUUGGGAUCAGCAUUUAUAGACAUUCUGAACUCUAUUGGGGUUAGACAACACAUCUCAGGACCUACUCAUUGUUGAAAUCAUACUCUAGAUUUAAUACUGUCACAUGGAAUUGAUGUUGAUGGUGUUGAAAUUACGCAGUCAAGCGAUGAUAUCUCAGAUCAUUUAGUUUUGUGCACACUUCACAUAGCAUUUUAAAUACAGUUGCUCCUUUAUGCUUAAGGAAGGUUAAGGAAAACAGUCUGACACCGUGGUAUAAUGAGCACACUCGCACCCUAAAGAGAGCAGCCCGGAAAAUGGAGCGCAGCUGGAGGAAAACAAAACUAGAGGUCACCAUAGCCACCAGAUCCAGUCUGUAUCCAGAUCAGAUGGUCACUGCAGUCACCCGGAUCCAGUGCGUAUCCAGCCCAGAUGGUGGAUCAGCACCUAGAAAGGACCUCUACAGUCCUGAAAGACAGCAGAGACCAGGACUAGAGCCCCAGAGACAGAUCCCCUGUAAAGACCUUGUCUCAGAUGAUCACCGGGACAAGACCACAGGAAACAGAUGAUUCUUCUGUACAAUCUGACUUUGCUGCAGCCUGGAAUUGAACUGACUUGAUUGCAAAUUAUUGCACAGAUACUAUUUAAACUGAACUGAGCUGCAUGAUGACAUCACUGAAUUCAAUGAUGAACUGCCUUUAACUGUCAUUUUGCAUUAUUGACACACUGUUUUCUUAAUUAAUGUUGUUCAGUUGCUUUGACGCAAUCUUUUUAGUUUAAAGCGCUAUAUAAAUAAAGAUAACUUGACUUGACUUGACUAAAAUAUUUUACUGCUAUUUAGGAGAACUCUUAGUGGCAAGAUAAAAUGUUUUGUGACUACAGGCCCUGAUGUACAAGGAGAAAAUAAAAGGACAAAACUUACACGUUUUGUCCAUCAAGAUAAUCUUCACAAAAUAAUAUAACUUUAAUGAAUUUUGAAGCCUAAAUAAAAGCGUCAAAACUUAAAAGAUAAACAUAGGCUAUAAACGAACUUCGGCGUCACCACCACCACGCUUCCCACAACUUUAUCAAAAUUAUUUUUAAUGUGUUCAGUGAAAAGGAUUUACUCUGUAUAUGAAUUUUAAUCCAUGCUACAUGAACCUUUUUUAUAUAAACUGGAAUAAAAAAAAACUACAAAACUAGAGCCAAACUAACACUAAAAUGAGACAUUAAUUAUAAAUAGGCUAGUAAAGUGAAUAAAUGAAAAUCAUAACUAAAGGACAUAUGAAAGCACCUAUUUCUGUACAUUUCGAAAUAAGGUGCAUUAAAAGUCAAUAAAUCCUUGAUAAAUAUGAAUAUUUUAAUUAAAAACGUGUCUUCACAUACUAUUCAAUAAAAUUCUAGUGCAUUUAAUCUAUUAAAUAACAGCAGAGUGAGCGAGUUUCUGGAUAUGGAAAGAUUAAAGAUUUUAGGGAAUAAAGUACCACAUUUCAGCUUUGUUAGUGUGGGUACACAAAAUGCUAUUUUAUCCUUGCUUCUAGGAAAUCCUCAUAUGUGGUAAAUGUGGUGGGUACAUGGAAUAAUCGUAAUAUGAGUUUACCUUACGAACCCAGAGCCUCCACAUCAGUAGGACAGUGAUAAAAUGAGCAUCUUCCAUCUGAAGACUUGUGUUGCAUUUCGGGGCAUAACAAAAAAAAAAAAAAUAUAUAUAUAUAUAUAUAAAAUGCUGGAAACGAAUUGGUUAUUCUACAAUUAAUUGUAUUACAAAUUAUACUACGACUAGAAAAUACUGUAAAUAGAUCAACUGUUCAGGCGUGAUGAAGUUUAAUUUCUCCGACAGCGCCUGUAGUCCCAUUUAGCAACUUGUUAGCAACCGUAAUUUUUAAGAAACGUAACAGUUUCAAUAAAAUCAUGAGUGGGGUGUAUAAAACGUGAAAGUAUUUGAGCCUGUGUGAACCACGGACCUUAUUUUAGGGAUUUAACCAAAAUCCCAUUCAAAAAAACCCAUUGACUCUGGGACGAUGGAACCAGAAAUGCUAAAAUGCUAACUCGCUUCCGGGGUUUUGCCUACAAAUUGACAUCAUAGUUCCACCCAUAGACAUAUAAAUACUUAUGUCUAUUAGACUGCACAUCUACUACGCUGUAAUUAAUACGGGCAGUGGCUGGAAAUUGCGACCUCUUCUUCUUCUUCUGAUUCAUGGCAGAUGACUAUUUUGUAGUAUACCACCACCAACUGUACAGGAGUGUGUAAUACCAUGAACAUCAUAGAGUCUGGGCUUCUAUUACUUAAAAAAAGGGGGGGGGGCUUAUACUCUUUUCAUUAAACCAGUAUUAUUAAGAUAACUAAAUAAAGCUUUAAGUCUCUCCCUUGUCAUGCCCUUUUCUUCCAGAAUUUCAUGAAUAGAGUUCUCCCCUUCCAUUUCCUGCCAGAUUAUUCUAUUAUCAUUAUACUUCUCACAAGUAAAAAGUACAUGUUUAACAUCUUCUCUGUCUUGGCACAUUAUGCAUAAACCAUUACCCUUUCCUACUAUAUGUAAAGUGGAGUUUAGUCCUGUAUGUCCUAGUCUAAGUCUGGUAUAGACCAUUUCUUCCCUUCUGUUUAGACUCCGUGAAGUAACCCUUUUCCCUGUCACCUUCUUCUGAUAUUUAUGGUAGUGUCUUGCAUUAAAUUCUGCCUCCCAUUCCCUUUGCCAUUUUUGUACAAUUACUGAUUUGAUUAUGGAUUUGGCUUCACCCUUACCCAUUGGAAC